rnacentral:sRNA from 1 species
UAUCAUAAUCUUAACUGUUGUAUAUAAAGUAUUUCUUCCUAAAAUAUACAAGGUGUACGCAACAAAUGCCAAUAAAAAUGGUUUCAAAUUAAAAAGAAAGACCAAAACUCAUAUGAACCUCAAAAACAUAGUAUGCUACUUUUAGUUAAAAUAAACUUUCUCAUUUCAAGUUCUAUUUUUUUUGUCAUUCGCUUAGUUAUUAAUGCUCAAAAAGCCAUUUCUGAGGAUUGUUAUUUACAUAAGUGACAUGAAGCAUCACACGAUCUAAAAGCUGUUAGAACCACAUACGAAGGCAAACACAAUCACUAUGUACUAACCGCAAGGUAUAACAACAACAACAACAACCAUGACAUGUCAGACUAGUUGUACCGCUAACACAAUCAGCCUCAACUUAGGUGUUGAAAUCGCAUCGGACACCCUUGACCAUACAUCAAACGAGCAUCCACAUCCACAUCUGCAUCCGCAUCCGCAUUCACAUCGUGUUCGUUCUGAACUUAAACCAGUGGAACGCUGGAUUCAAGUUUAUUCAUGGACCACCCAUGGGAACCUGCUAUCUAAGUAGCACUAAUGCCGGUAUAAUCAUCAAUAUAACGGUUCGAGAGAAACGAUCGAGGCUCAAACAGAUGACAUCUCUUCCUGUUAUCCGUAUAUAUCCACAUAACAUAGCAAGAAUACAAUAUGGUCUCUAGAGGAGGAUGGUCUGCACAAACCAACCACAGUAACACAAUAAAGAAAAAGAAAAACAAAGGCUCUAUACUUGCAUUAUUUAUCUUGAUUCUUCCUAGGUUAGGAAUGGAAUAACAUUGUUCUUUGUAAUCUAUGAUCUAUAUGUAUGUAUGUAUGUAUGUAUAUCAUGACACACUAAGAUAGAGAUAUUGGUCUUAAUCUCCCAACAUAUUUAUUU